UCCAUUUGGACUUUUCAAAGUUGAUUUGAAAUGGAUUUGAAGUUUGACCUUUAACUGUUCAUUUUAAUUCAUGUAUUAUUUUAAUUUCCAAAAAUACCAAAAAUAUUUUAUUUGUUUCUUGACUUCUAAGUUUCAUUUUGCUUCUGUUUACUAGUGUUUGACCUUGAUUUCAUCUAUCUUUGGUCAAUGUACUUUGAUUAUUUUUUUGAAUUUCCAUUAAUGUACAUUCUUAUUCAUCUUCUUCUUCAUCUUUUUUUUCUUUUGAUCAAUGAGUUAAAG
rnacentral:lncRNA from 1 species